rnacentral:rRNA from 1 species
UUUAACGGCCGCGGUAUUAUGACCGUGCAAAGGUAGCGUAAUCACUUGUCUCCUAAAUAAAGACCAGUAUGAAUGGCAAAACGAAAGCUCAACUGUCUCCUUAGAUUAAUCAAUGAAAUUGAUCUUUCCGUGCAGAAGCGGAAAUAUUUUUAUAAGACAAAAAGACCCUAUGGAGCUUCAAAUUUAAAUUACUUAUAUUCCCUUAAAAAUAUAAUAAAUAAUUUAACAUAAAGUUUUAGGUUGGGGCGACCGCGGAGUAAAUUAUAACCUCCAAGAUUAAUUAAGAAAGACAUUUCAAAAUGAUAAAAUAACUAACAUACUUGAUCCAAUAUUUGAUCAACGAACCAAGUUACCCUAGGGAUAACAGCGCAAUCCCCUUAAAGAGUCCAUAUCGACAAGGGGGUUUACGACCUCGAUGUUGGAUCAGGGCCCCCAAAUGGUGCAGCAACUAUUAAAGGUUCGUUUGUUCAACGAUUAAAGCCCU